GAUUAGGGUAUUGUAAGGUUUAGCAUGGGCGUUUGAGAGAUUGAGGAAGGCGUUUGAGAGAUUGAAAGAGGCGAGUGAGGAGGAUGAGAUGUAAGGUUUAGCAUGGGCGUUUGAGAGAUUGAGGAAGGCGUUUGAGAGAUUGAAAGAGGCGAGUGAGGAGGAUGAGAGGUUCUUUCUCGUUACUGUUUCCUUCUACCUUUUAUUCAUUUUUUUUUACAAAACAUGCUUUAAACCAAAAUUUAAUCAACGGUUUUUAGUCUUCCUCUGUUUUAUUAAAAA
rnacentral:lncRNA from 1 species